rnacentral:rRNA from 1 species
GGGAGUACGGCCGCAAGGCUAAAACUCAAAGGAAUUGACGGGGGCCCGCACAAGCGGCGGAGCAUGCGGAUUAAUUCGAUGCAACGCGAAGAACCUUACCAAGGCUUGACAUGAACCGGAACGGCGCAGCGGAUGUGUCGGCCACUUGUGGCCGGUUUCCAGGUGGUGCAUGGUUGUCGUCAGCUCGUGUCGUGAGAUGUUGGGUUAAGUCCCGCAACGAGCGCAACCCUCGUUCCAUGUUGCCAGCGGGUUAUGCCGGGGACUCAUGGGAGACUGCCGGGGUCAACUCGGAGGAAGGUGGGGACGACGUCAAAUCAUCAUGCCCCUUAUGUCUUGGGCUUCACGCAUGCUACAAUGGCCGGUACAAAGGGUUGCGAUGCUGUGAGGUGGAGCUAAUCCCAAAAAGCCGGUCUCAGUUCGGAUU